rnacentral:rRNA from 1 species
UUGAACGCUGGCGGCAGGCCUAACACAUGCAAGUCGAGCGGAUGAAGGGAGCUUGCUCCUGGAUUCAGCGGCGGACGGGUGAGUAAUGCCUAGGAAUCUGCCUGGUAGUGGGGGAUAACGUCCGGAAACGGGCGCUAAUACCGCAUACGUCCUGAGGGAGAAAGUGGGGGAUCUUCGGACCUCACGCUAUCAGAUGAGCCUAGGUCGGAUUAGCUAGUUGGUGGGGUAAAGGCCUACCAAGGCGACGAUCCGUAACUGGUCUGAGAGGAUGAUCAGUCACACGGGAAUGGAGAAACGUUCAGAAUUCCUAGGGGAGGCAGCAGUGGGAAAAAUUGGAAAAUGGGCGAAAGCCUGAUCCAGCCAUGCGGCGUGGGUGAGAAGGUCUUCGGAUUGUAAAGCACUUUAAGUUGGGAGGAAGGGCAGUAAGUUAAUACCUUGCUGUUUUGACGUUACCAACAGAAUAAGCACCGGCUAACUUCGUG